UGCGCCGCUGCCGCUCCUCUCUCGGAGAGUCAAAGAGGGAAAGCCCAGCUUCCCGGCCGGCAUCUCGCCUGCCUGCGUGCCUCCUCCAUUUGCGAAGCAGAGUUCGUCUGCCUCGGUCGCAUCGACGGGUUGGCGGUCCCUGCCGCCGCCGUUGCCGUGACUCUGUUCACAGUGCGAGGUACGCUAACCAGAACCUCCUGAUCUGCUUGCCGUUGCUAGCGUCAGACACACCGUCGUCGCCUUUUGUGAGCCGGACGGCAGCUGCUGUCCGGAGUUUGUGAGGCAACGGGAAGUGCGUGAAUCCCGCUGCGUGCACUGUUUCUGUCGCCCGGUUUCGAAGGGGCUGGCCCGUCGUCGCACCUCGUCCGGUAGUUCGUGAAACGCCGUUCAGAGGAGAAGGUGUGUGCGGUCUGUCGCGGAUGAUUCUUCUGCCGGUGUUUUUGGCGUGACGGUGGUGUGGGGUUCGGCAGUCCUGCCGGCGUCCGAAAUUGCGUUCCGUCGCGUCGCCGUCCCUUGACCGCGUCGGAGGCACUUGCGACGACGUCCGCGAAACCGUGACCGGCGAAGCGCAUUGACUUUGGAUUUGACACCAGAGACUACGAGCCGAAACUCAAGAGCUACAGCGUCGGAGCGAACGCAGCAUCGUUUACGAACCGACCCUCAAGGCUUUCCAAGAAGGUGACAGAGACGUUGACCGUCAUCACAAGGGGUGGAAGACUCAAGGAAACGAGACAUCAUUGUGUCCGCAACACAGUUUCCAUCAGCGCCUUCGCGUCGGCGUGCCUUGCUGGACAAGAUUCUUGUGACGUGAAAUUCAAGACGCAACGAACCUGGCGCCUCGUUGUGCAAGGAACCGAUGCCUUGGAACAGAAAAGAGGAGCACCUUCGCUUCAGUAACAACGUCCUCAUAAAAGGCGAGGCCUCGGCAUCGGCAUUGGUGGCGGCAGCUUCCGCGGCUUCCUGCUGCGGCGGCGGCGAUCGGCCAAGGAAGGCGAAGCGGCGGCGGCGGCCGGUCCCGGCGGUGCGCUGGCUUCCUCGCGCCACCACGCGCA
rnacentral:misc_RNA from 1 species